GCCCAGACUCCUACGGGAGGCAGCAGUGGGGAAUAUUGGGCAAUGGGCGCAAGCCUGACCCAGCGACGCCGCGUGAGGGAAGACGGUCUUCGGAUUGUAAACCUCUUUCAGCAGGGAAGAAGAAGGACGGUACCUGAGUAAGAAGCCCCGGCUAACUACGUGCCAGCAGCCGCGGUAAUACGUAGGGGGCAAGCGUUAUCCGGAUUUACUGGGUGUAAAGGGAGCGUAGACGGCGAAGAAAGUCUGAAGUGAAAGCCCGCGGCUCAACCGCGGAAUGGCUUUGGAAACUUUUUUGCUGGAGUACCUGAGAGGUAAGCGGAAUUCCUAGUGUAGCGGUGAAAUGCGUAGAUAUUAGGAGGAACACCAGUGGCGAAGGCGGCUUACUGGACGGUAACUGACGUUGAGGCUCGAAAGCGUGGGGAGCAAACAGGAUUAGAUACCCCCGUA
rnacentral:rRNA from 1 species